UACGUAGGGUGCAAGCGUUAAUCGGAAUUACUGGGCGUAAAGCGUGCGCAGGCGGUUUUGUAAGUCUGUUGUGAAAGCCCCGGGCUUAACCUGGGAAUUGCGAUGGAGACUGCAAGGCUUGAAUCUGGCAGAGGGGGGUAGAAUUCCACGUGUAGCAGUGAAAUGCGUAGAGAUGUGGAGGAACACCGAUGGCGAAGGCAGCCCCCUGGGUCAAGAUUGACGCUCAUGCACGAAAGCGUGGGGAGCAAACAGG
rnacentral:rRNA from 1 species